GCACAAGCCCGAUGCAGACACCUGCCCUUCGGCUAGCACCCCAGCUGACAUUAGCACACAGUGCCAAUGUCUGAUGUCCUGCCCUCCACUCCUAAGUGUUCUUACUUUCUCCGUUGUCAUAUCUGGGGACCAGAUAAGCUCAUGCCUACCAAUUCCUGCAUCAGUCAUUUCCAUGGCGAGGUCUUAGAUGAUUUUGAAGUGCUGUCCAGAUGGGAAAUCUGUCAAGCAUUUUUGCAUUCACCCCUUUUUCCAUAACCACCCAUGGAAAAUUAUAUGCUCAAUAUAUGUUUAUAUACUAAAUGAAUCAAUGCAUGAAUGAAUAACUGCAGAAUGAAUGGAUUUUUGUUAGCAAAAAAAUGCCUUCAAGUUCAGGUUGUAAUAAAAUGUUUUCC
rnacentral:lncRNA from 1 species